GCCGUGUUAGCUCAGUUGGUUAGAGCAUGGUGCUAAUAACACCAAGUUCACAGGUUCAGUCCCUGCUUACUGCA
rnacentral:tRNA from 1 species